rnacentral:rRNA from 1 species
UACGUAGGGUGCAAGCGUUAAUCGGAAUUAUUGGGCGUAAAGCGUGCGCAGGCGGUUCGGUAAGUGAGGUGUGAAAUCCCAGGGCUUAACCUUGGAACUGCACUUUUAACUACCGGGCUAGAGUACGUCAGAGGGGGGUAGAAUUCCACGUGUAGCAGUGAAAUGCGUAGAGAUGUGGAGGAAUACCGAUGGCGAAGGCAGCCCCCUGGGAUGAUACUGACGCUCAUGCACGAAAGCGUGGGGAGCAAACAGG